rnacentral:rRNA from 1 species
AUGCGUGCUGCCCUCCCUAACCACCGCUUCUCGGACUCUACUUCUUCCUUGGUCACCAUGGAAGGUGGAGUGUUGUUGAGGUCUGGGAGAACCAUCUUCUACAGGCGAGACGACGAGGCCGUUGUCAGUGGUGAGCUGGUACUACAGGAGAAGGAACAUGCCCAAGAGAAGAAGGAUCACGCCCAGGACAACAAGAAGGAGCAGGAUAAGGCCCUAAGGACCUGGGAUCGCUGCUGCUGGACCUGGGACCUGGGAUCGCUGCUGCUGGAGCUGGGACCUAGGAUUGCUGCUGCUGGACCUGGGAACUAG